UAUUUGAUUUAGUUUACUUAUCUAUUUCUCAACAGAGUUAAAAUGGUCACACAAGAAGUUUUCUUGCAGUUUUUCAUAUUCUCAUUUUGUAUUGCACCAAUGAAUUUACCCAGUUUUAAUAUUUAAACCUAUAAUGCCAUAACAAUUAUAUAAAACUAAUUAUGUUAAUACAUUUUCAAGAAAAUCUUAUGUACCUGGUAUUUAUAUUUUAAUUGUAUAGUACACAUCUCUGAAGAAAAAACCCAGGUAUUACUGUUCCACAUUUACAUUAUAACGAGGAUAAUUAGCUCCCCUGAUUUGGUGGUUAAAUUAUUUGCAGGUGACAGAUAUGGAUAUGACAUGUUAUAAUGUUAUGUAUGUGCUCCUCCUCAACAGAAAAAAUUAUAAGCAUCCCUCUGGAGACCUGAUCAUUGAAUCCAGGUUAUAUGAACCUCAAGGACAUGAAAUUCAAAUCUACAUGUAUUCUGAAAUCUUUGUGUUGUAGAUAUAUAGUACUGGAGUAUAAAAAAUCAGUAGAAUUUAAGUUUAUAGUCAGGAGAAUGGUAGUAGGGUUAUCUAUUAUGGUUUUGGUAUAAAUAUUAUUUUCUUAUUGAUUAGACAUAGUUUUAUUUUCCAGAUUUAUAGUUCACCAUCAUCGAAUAACGAGCUUUGUCCUUUAAACAAUCACUAUUUUUCAAGUAAAACAGAUUUUUCUCAAACUUCUUAGUAGGUAGGUUCCCCUGGUCCUGUAGUAGGUUCCCCUGGUCCUGUAGUAGGUUCCCCUGGUCCUGGUUUGCUUUCUUAUGUAGUAGGUUCCCCUGGUCCUGUAGUAGGUUCCCCUGGUCCUGGUUUGCUUUCUUAUGUAGUAGGUUCCCCUGGUCCUGUAGUAGGUUCCCCUGGUCCUGUAGUAGGUUCCCCUGAUCCUGGUUUGCUUUCUUAUGUAGUAGGUUCCCCUGGUCCUGUAGUAGGUUCCCCUGGUCCUGGUUUGAUUUCUUAUGUAGUAUAUUUCCCUGGUCCUGUAGUAGGUUCCCCUGGUCCUGGUUUGAUUUUUUAUGUAGUAGGUUCCCCUGGUCCUGGUUUGAUUACUUAUGUAGAAGGUUCCCCUGGUCCUGUAGUAGGUUCCUCUGGUCCUGGUUUGAUUUCUUAUGUAGUAGGUUACCCUGGUCCUGGUUUGAUUUCUUAUGUAGAAGGUUCCCCUGGUCCUGUAGUAGGUUCCCCUGAUCCUGGUUUGCUUUCUUAUGUAGUAGGUUCCCCUGGUCCUGUAGUAGGUUCCUCUGGUCCUGGUUUGAUUUCUUAUGUAGUAGGUUCUCCUGGUCCUGGUUUGAUUUCUUAUGUAGAAGGUUUCCCUGGUCCUGUAGUAGGUUCCCCUGGUCCUGUAGUAGGUUCCCCUGGUCCUGGUUUGAUUUCUUAUGUAGUAGGUUCCACUGGUCCUGGUUUGAUUUCUUAUGUAGAAGGUUCCCCUGGUCCUGGUUUGAUUUCUUAUGUAGAAGGUUCGCCUGGUCCUGUAGUAGGUUCCCCUGAUCCUGGUUUGAUUUCUUAUGUAGUAGGUUCCACUGGUCCUGGUUUGAUUUCUUAUGUAGAAGGUUUCCCUGGUCCUGUAGUAGGUUCCCCUGGUCCUCCUGGUCCUGUAGUAGGUUCCCCUGGUCCUGGUUUGAUUUCUUAUGUAGUAGGUUCCCCUGGUCCUGGUUUGUACAUGUAUAAUCUAAAAUUUCUUGAUCAGAAAAACAUUUCAUGACCAGCGCAAGCAGUAAGCAUCUUUGAUUUUGACACUUAAUGUUUGUGUAUUAUGCUGUUUCUCAAAAAGUACCGUAGUUAAAAGAUCUUUCUCAAAUUUCAUAUGUAGGUUCCAUUCGGUCCAUUGUUGUGAAUGUUUAAAUUUUUGAAAAAUUGACAGUUGAAGUUUUUUAUCACUUUUUCUCAAGAAAUACUGGAGAGAUUUUCCCCAAUUUUAUAUGUAGGUUCCUUUGUGGUAGUGCUUUAAUUUGAGACUGAUCAGAAUUUUGGAUUUUCGUGGUUUAAUUGAAUGGUAUCACAAUUUCUCGGACAUCUUUUUACACAUUAAGUACUAUUCUAAUCAACCAACAAUUACCUCCCUUUGAAAGGACUUUGGUGAAACACAGUUGUACACAAUUUUAAUCAAAAGUUACGAGAUGAAUUUGCUGUUGACAAGAUAUUUAGAUCCAACAGAUAAAAAAACAAAAGAUUGAACUUGCAGAGAACUUAUAGGGCUUCCUUUGUAUGUACAUGUAUGUUGUUUGUUACAUGUUGUUGUGGCUACUGUAAUGCUCCCAAUACCAACUGAUCUGACCUAAAAAGAUGCAUGUCAUUAGGAUAAUCUCAACUUUAUUUUUUUUGACAUUUAAUUUUCAACAUUCAAAGGACUAAUCAAUAUUUAUUUUUAAUUCAAAAUAAGUCCAUGCUAUUAUAACAAUGAGCUCAGUAAAAGUGUGUUUAACACUACAGGAAAGCAGUGGUGUACGUCUGCUAGGUUCCAGAACUAAAAUUGCACUAGAGACAUAUACAAUGUAAUAAGUGUGCUAGUAUGUUCAACUGAAAAUGUUGACAAUGCUUGUAAUCCUCACAGACAAUGGCUGCCGGAUGCAUGCUAUUUCCGCCAAACUUAGUGAAAGUUUUUGUGUUGGCAUGUAAUUAUGGAUGUUUCUUUAUCACGACAUAUUUGUUACAUGCAAAUGGUACUUCUAGUUACAGCUGAAGAUAUAAACUAUACUGUUGUUCAAUUGGAAUACAAUUGCUCUUAAUUUGUCCAUUUCAAGAUGUCUGUUACUUCAGAUAUUAAAGCAUGAACCUCAGUUACCACUACCGUAUAUCAGUCAUUGAUAAUCAUUUAUGUAAAUGUUUUCCAGAUUAAUUUUCAAACAAUGUUACAACCCUUAUGCAUGCUGUAUGACAUUUCAGCAUUUUCCUAAUCAAUGGUGAACAGCAAUCUUGGAGUGUUUUUUUUUUAUUAAAGAACCGUAAAAAUCUCGUGUAAUUUGUACAGUUGAGUGUCACCUUUGCAUGUUCAUUGUAUCUUAGCACAUAAAAGCUGGAGGGGAGAGGGGGAUUUUUUUCUGCUUUCUUGUUUAUAUAUAAUGUUGAAAGAAAUACACUACAAUGUAAAAUACAAUUCAAAGUGACUUUCACAAGUGUUCUACUGUAAAACAAUGUGACAAAUUUUUAGCUGACCUGGCCCGAAGCAACGUCCUUCGUCCCGCAACUUUUUCCUUUAAAUCGCUACUAGUCCUUAACGGCUCAGUGGAUUUUGACCAAAUUUUGUAUAAACUGAGGUGUGUGGGCCCCCUUCUUUGGGGCAGAUUAUGGGAAAUAGAGGA